rnacentral:rRNA from 1 species
UGAAUACGAGACGCUAAGGCGUCGAAGUAGUGUAUGUCAUACUUCCAAGAAAAGCUUGCACUGUCAUAGAUAAAAAACGCCUGUACCAUAACCGACACAGGUGGGUAGGUAGAGUAUACUAAGGGGCGCGAGAUAACUCUCUCUAAGGAACUCGGCAAAAUAACUCCGUAACUUCGGGAGAAGGAGUGCCUUAUUCUUAAGGUUGCAAUAACAAGAUCCAAGCAACUGUUUAUCAAAAACACAGGUCUCCGCUAAGUCGUAAGACGAUGUAUGGGGGCUGACGCCUGCCCAGUGCCAGAAGGUUAAAGAAGUUGGUUAGCAAUUGCGAAGCUGAUAACUGAAGCCCUGGUGAACGGCGGCCGUAACAAUAACGGUCCUAAGGUAGCGAAAUUCCUUGUCGGGUAAGUUCCGACCCGCACGAAAGGCGUAAUGAUUUGGAUACUGUCUCGGAGAGGGGCUCGGUGAAAUAGACUUGUCUGUGAAGAUGCGGACUACCUGCACCAGGACAGAAAGACCCUAUGAAGCUUUACUGUAACUUGAAAUUGAAAUUGGACUUUAUUCGCGCAGUAUAGGUGGGAGGCGUUGAUUAUAAUCUUGUGGGAUUAUUGGAGCCAUCAGUGAGAUACCACUCUUGUAAUGUUAGAUUUCUAACUUUGAAUCAUUAUCUGGUCAAAGAACAGUUUCAGGCGGGCAGUUUGACUGGGGCGGUCGCCUCCUAAACGGUAACGGAGGCGUACAAAGGUUUCCUCUGAACGGUUAGAAAUCGUAUCUAGAGUGUAAAGGCAUAAGGAAGCUUGACUGUGAGACCUACAAGUCGAGCAGGGACGAAAGUCGGUCUUAGUGAUCUGACGGUACUGAGUGGAAAGGCCGUCACUCAACGGAUAAAAGUUACUCUAGGAUAACAGGCUGAUCUCCCCCAAGAGUUCACAUCGACGGGGAGGUUUGGCACCUCGAUGUCGGCUCAUCGCAUCCUGGGGCGGUAGUACGUCCCAAGGGUUGGGCUGUUCGCCCAUGAAAGCGGUACGCGAGCUGGGUUCAGAACGUCGUGAGACAGUUCGGUCCAUAUCCGGUGUAGGCGUUAGAAUAUUGAGAGGAGCCUUCUUUAGUACGAGAGGACCGAGAAGGACAUACCUCUGGUGUACCAGUUAUCGUGCCAACGGUAAACGCUGGGUAGCUAUGUAUGGAGUGGAUAACCGCUGAAAGCAUCUAAGUGGGAAGCCCACCUCAAGAUAAGUAUUCUCAUC